UACGAAGGGGGGCUAGCGUUGCUCGGAAUUACUGGGCGUAAAGGGCGCGUAGGCGGCACUGUUAGUCAGGCGUGAAAGUCCUGGGCUCAACCUGGGAACUGCGCUUGAUACGGCAGAGCUAGAGGAUGGAAGAGGGUCGCGGAAUUCCCAGUGUAGAGGUGAAAUUCGUAGAUAUUGGGAAGAACACCGGUGGCGAAGGCGGCGAUCCGGGUGAGAUAUGACGCUGAGGUGCGAAAGCGUGGGGAGCAAACAGGG
rnacentral:rRNA from 1 species